rnacentral:tRNA from 1 species
GCUACCGACAUGAAGUGGUUCUAUGGUGUAGUGGUUAGCACUCUGGACUUUGAAUCCAGCGACCUGGGUUCGACUCCCGGUAGGACCUU